AACGCUAGCUACAGGCUUAACACAUGCAAGUCGAGGGGUAGCAGGGUAGCAAUACCGCUGACGACCGGCGCACGGGUGAGUAACACGUAUCCAACCUUCCCAUAACUCGGGGAUAGCCUUUCGAAAGAAAGAUUAAUACCCGAUAGUACUUAACAAAGGCAUCUUUGAUAAGUUAAAGAUUUAUUGGUUAUGGAUGGGGAUGCGUUCCAUUAGAUAGUUGGUGAGGUAACGGCUCACCAAGUCUUCGAUGGAUAGGGGUUCUGAGAGGAAGGUCCCCCACAUUGGUACUGAGACACGGACCAAACUCCUACGGGAGGCAGCAGUGAGGAAUAUUGGUCAAUGGGCGAGAGCCUGAACCAGCCAAGUAGCGUGAAGGAUGAAGGUCCUAUGGAUUGUAAACUUCUUUUAUAGUAGAAUAAAGUGAUCCACGUGUGGAUUUUUGUAUGUAUACUAUGAAUAAGGAUCGGCUAACUCCGUGCCAGCAGCCGCGGUAAUACGGAGGAUCCGAGCGUUAUCCGGAUUUAUUGGGUUUAAAGGGUGCGUAGGCGGAAUAAUAAGUCAGUUGUGAAAGUUUGCGGCUCAACCGUAAAAUUGCAGUUGAUACUGUUAUUCUUGAGUGUACAUAAGGUAGGCGGAAUUCGUGGUGUAGCGGUGAAAUGCUUAGAUAUCACGAAGAACUCCGAUUG
rnacentral:rRNA from 1 species